rnacentral:rRNA from 1 species
UACGGGGGGGGCAAGCGUUGUUCGGAAUUACUGGGCGUAAAGGGCUCGUAGGCGGCCUUCUAAGUCGAACGUGAAAUCCCCGGGCUCAACCCGGGAACUGCGUCCGAUACUGGAAGGCUUGAAUUCGGGAGAGGGAUGCGGAAUUCCAGGUGUAGCGGUGAAAUGCGUAGAUAUCUGGAGGAACACCGGUGGCGAAGGCGGCAUCCUGGACCGGCAUUGACGCUGAGGCGCGAAAGCCAGGGGAGCAAACGGG